ensembl:lncRNA
CUGCAUAGCCCCUCCCGCCUUUGGACGCUUGGGCUCCCAGCCCCGCCUCUUCUCCCUGUUCUUGGCGAUGCUCCUGGGAUGGCACGCACCUCCCAGGAAGCACAGUCACCCCUCAGCACCCUUCUGAGAAGGAGAAGCACCCGACAGGACUAAAGAUACAGCAUACAUCCACAUUAUAAGCCUGAAGCCCAAACCAAGCUCUCAUCCCUACAGCUGAUGUGAGCGGGGGUGGGUGUGCAGAUCUGGAGGCUUGGUGAGACCAGCUGCGUGCAGGAGGGCGUGUGCUUUGCAGCAACCUGGGCGGUCCAGGCAGAGAGCAGACAGCUGGUGCUCGUUGGAGAAUAAUUACAUUUUUGUGUUGGUUUCUGCUGUACAACAUUGUGAAUCGGCUGAGACGUGGGUUCGAUCCCUGGUGCCGGAAGAUCCCACGAUGCUGAGCAACUAAGCCCAUGCACUACAACUUCUGAGCCCACGUGCUACAGCGACUGAAGUCCACAUGCCCUAGAGCGUGUACUCCACAAGAGAAGCCACCACAAUGAGAAGCCCGCGUAUCACAACUACAGAGGAGCCCCCACCCGCCACAACUAGAGAAAGUCUGCUGGCACCAAUGAGGACCCAGCAGAGCCAAAACUAAAUGAACAAAAAAACUUUAAAAAAGAAAAUGGGAGAAAAUACUGGCUUUUAGUCCAUGGUAUUUGCCAUCUCUACCAUUGUCCCACCCUCUCCCAACCUGACCGAAAGAUGACCCUGGGCUCAUGUGUCUUGCACUGAGUGUCCACCUGACCCAACUGACCACUCCAUUCAAGGCCCCCACCCUGGGGGCUGCCAUUACUCCCCAUCUCAACACAGGCAGGCAUCACCCCUGGGG